GAUGAACGCUAGCGGCAGGCUUAAUACAUGCAAGUCGAGGGGCAGCACAGAUAGCAAUAUUGGGUGGCGACCGGCAAACGGGUGCGGAACACGUACACAACCUUCCCUUCGGUGGGGGAUAGCCUUUGGAAACGGAGAUUAAUACCCCAUAAUACAUUUGUACAGCAUUGUAUGGAUGUUAAAGAUUUAUUGCCGGAAGAUGGGUGUGCGUAUGAUUAGGUAGUUGGUAGGGUAACGGCCUACCAAGCCGACGAUCAUUAACUGGUGUGAGAGCACGACCAGUCACACGUGCACUGAGACACGGGCCCGACUCCUACGGGAGGCAGCAGUAAGGAAUAUUGGUCAAUGGACGGAAGUCUGAACCAGCCAUGCCGCGUGGAGGAUGAAGGUCCUCUGGAUUGUAAACUUCUUUUAUAGGGGGCGAAAAAAGGGAAUUCUUUCUCGUCUGACGGUACCCUAUGAAUAAGCACCGGCUAACUCCGUGCCAGCAGCCGCA
rnacentral:rRNA from 1 species